rnacentral:rRNA from 1 species
UACGAAGGGGGCUAGCGUUGCUCGGAAUCACUGGGCGUAAAGCGCACGUAGGUGGUUUCGUAAGUCUGGCGUGAAAUUUUUCGGCUUAACCGGGAAAGGUCGUCGGAUACUGCGGAACUAGAGGACGGUAGAGGCGUGUGGAAUUCCGGGUGUAGUGGUGAAAUGCGUAGAGAUCCGGAGGAACACCAGUGGCGAAGGCGACACGCUGGGCCGUACCUGACACUGAUGCGCGACAGCAUGGGGAGCAAACAGG